UACAGAGGUCCCAAGCGUUGUUCGGAUUCAUUGGGCGUAAAGGGUGUCGUAGGUGGCGCCGUAAGUCGGGUGUGAAAUUUCGGAGCUUAACUCCGAAACUGCAUUCGAUACUGCGGUGCUUGAGGACUGGAGAGGAGACUGGAAUUCAUGGUGUAGCAGUGAAAUGCGUAGAGAUCAUGAGGAAGACCAGUGGCGAAGGCGGGUCUCUGGACAGUUCCUGACACUGGAGACGAAGGCCAGGGGAGCAAACGGG
rnacentral:rRNA from 1 species